ensembl:miRNA Gm23542 predicted gene, 23542
UGUAUGUUUAUGUGUGUAUAGUUUAUGUGCAUGUGCAUGUGUGCAUAUGCAUAUACAUAUACAUCCAUACAAACAUAUAGAAGUAGCACAGAUACA